GGCACCUCAAAAAUCAUCGAUUUCCAACCUGCUGCCAUGGCCAGGGAUAUAUUUUGAUAUUUAAGGAUGUGUUAAAACCACUUUUGGGGCUGCCCUUGCUGUUGGUGCCUCUCCCCUUCAUCCCCACUCCUGCUCUCUCCUGAGCACAAACGUGCCUGUUAAAAUUCUCCCUGGCAAUGUGAAAACAGCAGAAAAACCAUCCUGGCGUGUUCUGGAGCAUCCACCGAGAUUUUCCAGGGAGAAAAGAACCCUGAAGGGGAAAAGCCAUGGGCAGGCUGGGGCUGGAGGCGGCGUGGGAAGGGUUAAGGAUUCCCGGGCUGGCUCUGCUGUGCUUUCCAGGCAAACAAAAUGGUGAGCGCGCCUUGGGCUACGUUUUCAGCGUGUUUUCUUGGGAGAUCAAAGCUUAAAUCCCAUUAACCCUUCACAUGUCAGCCUGGUCAGCCUUCAUUACCCUCCUGGCAAGUGGCUGAAUGAUGCUUUCUUGGCCAGCAGAGCCAUUUUGGAGCAAAUUAAGAUUUGUUGGGUGCUUGUUAAAGACCUUUUGGACAUCAGGUGGCUCGCAGAAAAUGUGACCUGGAUCCAAAUGGCCACUGAGAGCUGAGCCCCAAAGCUCCUCAGACAGCAAAAGAUGGAGAAAAAAGUCAAAUUUAACCUUCCACAGAUUGUCCUGACACAGGAAACAUCUCUGAGUUUAUCCUGCAACCAAAGCAUUUGUGAUGGGUAAAUUAUUUCAUUUCUCUCUGUGCUUUUUGCAGCACUGGAUCCUUACUCCAACAAGGUAAAAAACGUUAUCAUUUUUCCUUUAGUCACAUAAAAACCCUCUGAGACAGAAUUUCUUCUUCAGGCACCUUGAGAGCUCUCUGGAAGCCAGUACAAUUUUAUAUUUCCCUAUAAACGCCAAUUAGGUUGGACUCCAUAUGCUGAGAGAGACAUUUUGGCUUUCUGCUGCCUUGCCCAGCAGCCUGGCACUCGCUGAAAUAAAUCACAGCUCUUUUCGGAGCUGGACGUGGCCAGAGGUGGACACAGAGGAGCUGAACACGAUGAUCUCAGAAGAAAUGCUCUGAAUUAAGCAGGAGGUUGCUAAGCCACCAGACUGCUGCAGUCUCCAACCAAAGUUACAGCGCUGAGUCCUUGCACAAAAUGGGGUUUUCCAAGGGAAACAAAAGUCUGCAAGGACACAACCUGAGCUGGGUACGGCUGGAAAAACUCCUGAAGUCAUCCAGGAUUUCAUCUUGCACCUCUUACAGCAAAACCAAAGAGCCUCCCUUGCCCCAAAAUCUGGAGCCUGAGACUGAAGUCUGCCUGAUUCCCUGAUUAUUUUUAUUUAUAUGGACAUUAAAAUAAAAAUAAUGUUUCA